UCAACCAANGUAUGCUUUGGAAACUGUUAGACUUGAGUGCAGAAGGGGAGAGUGGAAUUCCAUGUGUAGCGGUGAAAUGCGUAGAUAUAUGGAGGAACACCGGUGGCGAAAGCGGCUNUCUGGUCUGUCACUGACGCUGAGGCUCGAAAGCGUGGGUAGCGAACAGGAUUAGAUACCCUGGUAGUNCACGCCGUAAACGCUGAGUGCUAGGUGUUAGGUCCUUUCCGGGACUUAGUGCCGACGCUAACGCAUUAAGCACUCCGCCUGGGGAGUACGACCGCAAGGUUGAAACUCAAAGGAAUUGACGGGGGCCCGCACAAGCGGUGGAGCAUGUGGUUUAAUUCGAAGCAACGCGAAGAACCUUACCAGGUCUUGACAUCCCGAUGCCCGCUCUAGAGAUAGAGUUUUUCUUCGGAACAUCGGAGACAGGUGGUGCAUGGUUGUCGUCAGCUCGUGUCGUGAGAUGUUGGGUUAAGUCCCGCAACGAGCGCAACCCUUAUUGUUAGUUGCCAUCAUUAAGUUGGGCACUCUAGCGAGACUGCCGGUAAUAAACCGGAGGAAGGUGGGGAUGACGUCAAAUCAUCAUGCCCCUUAUGACCUGGGCUACACACGUGCUACAAUGGUUGGUACAACGAGUCGCAAGCCGGUGACGGCAAGCUAAUCUCUGAAAGCCUAUCUCAGUUCGGAUUGUAGGCUGCAACUCGCCUACAUGAAGUCGGAAUCGCUAGUAAUCGCGGAUCAGCACGCCGCGGUGAAUACGUUCCCGGGCCUUGUACACACCGCCCGUCACACCACGAGAGUUUGUAACACCCAAAGUC
rnacentral:rRNA from 1 species